GAUGAACGCUGGCGGCGUGCCUAAUACAUGCAAGUCGAGCGAACAGACGAGGAGCUUGCUCCUCUGACGUUAGCGGCGUACGGGUGAGUAACACGUGGAUAACCUACCUAUAAGACUGGGAUAACUUCGGGAAACCGGAGCUAAUACCGGAUAAUAUAUUGAACCGCAUGGUUCAAUAGUGAAAGACGGUUUUGCUGUCACUUAUAGAUGGAUCCGCGCCGCAUUAGCUAGUUGGUAAGAUAAAGGCUUACCAAGGCGACGAUGCGUAGCCGACCUGAGAGGGAGAUAGGCCACACUGAAACUAAGACAAGGUCCAGACUCAUACGGAAGGCAGCAGUAGGGAAACUUCCGCAAUGGGCGAAAGCCUGAAGGAGCAACGCAGCGUGAGUGAUGAAGGUCUUCGGAAAGUAAAACACUGUUAUUAGGGAAGAACAAAGGUGUAAGUAAAUAUGCACGUAUAGACGGUACCUAAUCAGAAAGCAAGGAAUAACUACGU
rnacentral:rRNA from 1 species